rnacentral:piRNA from 1 species
UGACUGUGUUGAGAGUCCUUGCUCACGGC